rnacentral:lncRNA from 1 species
CAAGCUUUCAUCUUUAUUUAUUUAUUCUGUUUUUGAAUUUUAGGAUAAUUUAUUUUAUUUCAGACUUGUUAUUUAGGAAUUCAUCAACCCUACCCGUCCCUUAGGUUUUUGAAAAAUCAAGUUGGUUAUCGAUAUUUGAGCUAAGUACCACUUGUUCCAUGAGUUUAAUAUCUACAUUGUGAUUUUUCAGGAACAUGACGUCGCAGAUCAAUCAAACAACAUUGACAAG